GAUGAACGCUGGCGGCGUGCCUAAUACAUGCAAGUCGAGCGAACAGACGAGGAGCUUGCUCCUCUGACGUUAGCGGCGGACGGGUGAGUAACACGUGGAUAACCUACCUAUAAGACUGGGAUAACUUCGGGAAACCGGAGCUAAUACCGGAUAAUAUAUUGAACCGCAUGGUUCAAUAGUGAAAGACGGUUUUGCUGUCACUUAUAGAUGGAUCCGCGCCGCAUUAGCUAGUUGGUAAGGUAACGGCUUACCAAGGCGACGAUGCGUAGCCGACCUGAGAGGGUGAUCGGCCACACUGGAACUGAGACACGGUCCAGACUCCUACGGGAGGCAGCAGUAGGGAAUCUUCCGCAAUGGGCGAAAGCCUGACGGAGCAAUGCCGCGUGAGUGAUGAAGGUCUUCGGAUCGUAAAACUCUGUUAUUAGGGAAGAACAAAUGUGUAAGUAACUAUGCACGUCUUGACGGUACCUAAUCAGAAAGCCACGGCUAACUACGU
rnacentral:rRNA from 1 species